GUGCUCAUCUCAGCAGUACAUAUACUAAUAUUGGAUCGAUAUAGAAAAGAUUAGCAUGGCCCCCAAACAGGGCUGACAUACAAAUUCAUGAAGCAUUGUGUGUGUGU